UGGGGAAUAUUGGACAAUGGGCGCAAGCCUGAUCCAGCCAUGCCGCGUGAGUGAUGAAGGCUCUAGGGUUGUAAAGCUCUUUCUCCGGUGAAGAUAAUGAUGGUAACCGGAGAAGAAGCCCCGGCUAACUUCGUGCCAGCAGCCGCGGUAAUACGAAGGGGGCUAGCGUUGUUCGGAUUUACUGGGCGUAAAGCGCACGUAGGCGGACUUUUAAGUCAGGGGUGAAAUCCCGGGGCUCAACCCCGGAACUGCCUUUGAUACUGGAAGUCUUGGGUAUGGUAGAGGUGUGUGGAAUUCCGAGUGUAGAGGUGAAAUUCGUAGAUAAUCGGAGGAAAACCAGGGGAGAAGGCGGCUCAAUGGACCAUUACUGACGCUGAGGUGCGAAAGACUGGGGAGCAAACAGG
rnacentral:rRNA from 1 species